UAGCGGGAUGGGAUAGCCAGGAGAUUCCGGCGGGCUCAUAACCCGCAGAUCGGUAGUUCAAAUCUACCUCCCGCUAUC
rnacentral:tRNA from 2 species